CCCUUAGAUGUCCGGGGCCGCACGCGCGCUACACUGAAGGAAUCAGCGUGGCUUUCUCCCUGACCCGAAAGGGUUGGGAAACCCGUUGAAUCUCCUUCGUGAUAGGGAUUGGGGCUUGAAAUUGUUCCCCAUGAACGAGGAAUUCCCAGUAAGCGCGAGUCAUAAGCUCGCGUUGAUUACGUCCCUGCCCUUUGUACACACCGCCCGUCGCUACUACCGAUUGAACGGUUUAGUGAGAUCUUCGGAUUGGCGCCACUGCGGCUCAGCAAUGGGCUCGGUGGAUGCCGAAAAGUUGAUCAAACUUGAUCAUUUAGAGGAAGUAAAAGUCGUAACA
rnacentral:rRNA from 1 species